rnacentral:rRNA from 1 species
GACGAACGCUGGCGGCGUGCUUAACACAUGCAAGUCGAACGGAAAGGCCCUGCUUUUGUGGUGUGCUCGAGUGGCGAACGGGUGAGUAACACGUGAGUAACCUGCCCUUGACUUUGGGAUAACUUCAGGAAACUGGGGCUAAUACCGUAUAGGAGCUCCUGCUGCAUUGUGGGGGUUGGAAAGUUUCGGCGGUUGGGGAUGGACUCGCGGCUUAUGAGCUUGUUGGUGGGGGAGUGGCUUACCAAGGCUGUGACGGGUAGCCGGCCUGAGAGGGUGACCGGCCACAUUGGGACUGAGAUACGGCCCAGACUCCUACGGGAGGCAGCAGUGGGGAAUAUUGCACAAUGGGCGGAAGCCUGAUGCAGCAACGCCGCGUGCGGGAUGACGGCCUUCGGGUUGUAAACCGCUUUCGCCUGUGACGAAGCGUGAGUGACGGUAAUGGGUAAAGAAGCACCGGCUAACUACGUG